rnacentral:rRNA from 1 species
GAUGAACGCUGGCGGCGUGCCUAAUACAUGCAAGUCGAGCGAACGGACGAGAAGCUUGCUUCUCUGAUGUUAGCGGCGGACGGGUGAGUAACACGUGGAUAACCUACCUAUAAGACUGGGAUAACUUCGGGAAACCGGAGCUAAUACCGGAUAAUAUUUUGAACCGCAUGGUUCAAAAGUGAAAGACGGUCUUGCUGUCACUUAUAGAUGGAUCCGCGCUGCAUUAGCUAGUUGGUAAGGUAACGGCCUACCAAGGCAACGAUGCAUAGCCGACCUGAGAGGGUGAUCGGCCACACUGGAGCUGAGACACGGUCCAGACUCCUACGGGAGGCAGCAGUAGGGAAUCUUCCGCAAUGGGCGAAAGCCUGACGGAGCAACGCCGCGUGAGUGAUGAAGGUCUUCGGAUCGUAAAACUCUGUUAUUAGGGAAGAACAUAUGUGUAAGUAACUGUGCACGUCUUGACGGUACCUAAACAGAAAGCCACGGCUAACUACGUG